AACUUUCGACAACGGAUCUCUUCAAGCACGCUGCGCGGCAUUUGAUGGGCUUCGUCGAUCACCAAUACGGUCGUCAGUCCCUUUUCGAAUUGCGCCAGCAGAAAGCCGUAUAGGGCGCGCAGCAGCUGUCCCUUGCUGGGUUCCGCGACUUUAAUUCCCAGCUCAAAGGUGAUGUAGCUCAGGAAAUCCGUCGUGGAUAAUCUUGGCCCGAUAAAAUACGCGUAGGGAAUUUGCUCGCGCUCCCACAAAUCAAACAGGCAGCGCAGCAUCAGCGUCUUGCCAGUCCCCACCUCGCCGGUCAUCACGAUAAAACCCUUCCGCCGGCAGAUGGCGUAGUAAAUCGACGCGAGCGCGUCCUUGUUCCUUUCCGACGAAAAUAAAAAGAAAGGAUCGGGCGAGAGCUCGAAAGGGCUCCGAUUUAAGCAUAUCAAUAAGCGGAGGCU
rnacentral:misc_RNA from 1 species